rnacentral:rRNA from 1 species
UGAGGAAUUUUGCGCAAUGGGGGAAACCCUGACGCAGCGACGCCGCGUGGAGGAUGAAGGCCUUCGGGUCGUAAACUCCUGUCAGAGGUGAAGAACACCCGCAAGGGUUUGACGGUAACCUCAGAGGAAGCCCCGGCUAACUACGUGCCAGCAGCCGCGGUAAUACGUAGGGGGCAAACGUUGCUCGGAAUUACUGGGCGUAAAGGGUGAGUAGGCGGCUGGGCAAGUCAAGGAUGAAAUCCCGUGGCUUAACUGCGGAACUGUCCUUGAAACUGCCUAGCUUGAGGAUAGUUGAAGAGAAGGGAAUUCCCGGUGGAGCGGUGAAAUGCGUAGAUAUCGGGAGGAACACCUGAGGCGAAGGCGCUUCUCUAAGCUACUCCUGACGCUGAAUCACGAAAGCUAGGGGGGCAAACGGGAUUAGAUACCCCGGUAGUCCUAGCCUUAAACGAUGGACGCUAGAUAUUCCUGCAUUCAUGUGGGAGUGUCGAAGCUAACGCGUUAAGCGUCCCGCCUGGGGAGUACGGUCGCAAGGCUG